rnacentral:rRNA from 1 species
UGCGACUAUAGCGAUUUGGAACCACCUGAAUCCUUCUCGAACUCAGCAGUGAAACGAAUCAUACGCCCGAUG